rnacentral:rRNA from 1 species
CCUACGGGAGGCAGCAGUAGGGAAUCUUCCACAAUGGGCGAAAGCCUGAUGGAGCAACGCCGCGUGGGUGAAGAAGGUCUUCGGAUCGUAAAACCCUGUUGUUAGUGACGAAAGUGAGUGAGAGUAACUGUUCACGUUUCGACGGUAUCUAACCAGCAGGCCCCGGCUAACUACGUGCCAGAAGCCGCGGUAAUACGUAGGUGGCAAGCGUUAUCCGGAUUUAUUGGGCGUAAAGGGAACGCAGGCGGUCUUUUAAGUCUGAGGUGAAAGCCUUCGGCUUAACCGGAGUAUUGCAUUGGAAACUGUGAGACUUGAGUGCAGAAGAGGAGAGUGGAACACCAUGUGUAGCGGUGAAAUGCGUAGAUAUAUGGAAGAACACCAGUGGCGAAAGCGGCUCUCUGGUCGGUAACUGACGCUGAGGUUCGAAAGCGUGGGUAGCAAACAGGAUUAGAUACCCUUGUAGUC